rnacentral:rRNA from 1 species
UACGGGGGAGCAAGCGUUGUUCGGAUUUACUGGGCGUAAAGGGCGCGUAGGCGGUCAGCACAAGUCAGUUGUGAAAUCUCCGAGCUUAACUCGGAAAGGUCAACUGAUACUGUGCGACUAGAGUGCGGAAGGGGCAACUGGAAUUCUUGGUGUAGCGGUGAAAUGCGUAGAUAAUCAAGAGGAACACCUGCGGCGAAGGCGGGUUGCUGGGCCGACACUGACGCUGAGGCGACGAAAGCUAGGGGAGCGAACGGG